CGUGCCUAACACAUGCAAGUCGAACGGAACUGCUUCGAAGGAUUUCUUCGGAAUGACAUUGAUUCAGUUUAGUGGCGGACGGGUGAGUAACGCGUGAGUAACCUGCCUUCAAGAGGGGGAUAACAUUCUGAAAAGAAUGCUAAUACCGCAUGACAUAUGAUUGUCGCAUGGCAGACAUAUCAAAGAUUUAUCGCUUGAAGAUGGACUCGCGUCCGAUUAGUUAGUUGGUGAGGUAACGGCUCACCAAGACCGCGAUCGGUAGCCGGACUGAGAGGUUGAACGGCCACAUUGGGACUGAGACACGGCCCAGACUCCUACGGGAGGCAGCAGUGGGGGAUAUUGCGCAAUGGGGGCAGCCCUGACGCAGCAACGCCGCGUGAAGGAUGAAGGUUUUCGGAUUGUAAACUUCUUUUAUUAAGGACGAAUAAUGACGGUACUUAAUGAAUAAGCUCCGGCUAACUACGUG
rnacentral:rRNA from 1 species